rnacentral:rRNA from 1 species
UACGUAGGGACCAAGCGUUGUUCGGAUUUACUGGGCGUAAAGCGCGUGUAGGCGGCCGAUUAAGUCUGGUGUGAAAGCCCGGGGCUCACCCCCGGAAGUGCGCUGGAAACUGGUCGGCUAGAGUAUGGGAGAGGGAUGUGGAAUUCCGGGUGUAGUGGUGAAAUGCGUAGAGAUCCGGAGGAACCCCAGAGGCGAAGGCGGCAUCCUGGCCCAUUACCGACACUCAGACACGACAGCAUGGGGAGCGAACGGG